CAGCAGCCGCGGAACACCGGCGGCCCGAGUGGUGAUCGUGAUUAUGGGUCUAAAGGGUCCGUAGCCGGUUGGUCAGUCCUCCGGGAAAUCUGAUAGCUCAACUAUUAGGCUUUCGGGGGAUACUGCCAGACUUGGAACCGGGAGAGGUAAGAGGUACUACAGGGGUAGGAGUGAAAUCUUGUAAUCCCUGUGGGACCACCUGUGGCGAAAGCGUCUUACCAGAACGGGUUCGACGGUGAGGGACGAAAGCUGGGGGCACGAACCGGAUUAGAUACCCGGGUAGUCCCAGCCGUAAACGAUGCUCGCUAGGUGUCAGGCAUGGCGCGACCGUGUCUGGUGCCGCAGGGAAGCCGUGAGGCGAGCCACCUGGGAAGUACGGCCGCAAGGCUGAAACUUAAAGGAAUUGGCGGGGGAGCACAACAACGGGUGGAAGCCUGCGGUUUAAUUGGACUCAACGCCGGACAACUCACCGGGGGCGACAGCAAUAUGUAGGCCAAGCUGAAGACUUUGCCUGAAUCGCUGAGGAGUGGUGCAUGG
rnacentral:rRNA from 1 species